rnacentral:tRNA from 1 species
GGAGUUUUAGUAUAGUUUUUAGUAUUUUUCUUUUUCGUAGAAAAGGUUUUUAAAUUCUG